rnacentral:rRNA from 1 species
UGGCUGCAGUCGAGGAUCUUCGGCAAUGGACGAAAGUCUGACCGAGCGACGCCGCGUGCGGGACGAAGGCCUUCGGGUUGUAAACCGCUGUCGAGGGGGAUUAAGGGCAACUUGAAAGAACCCUGGAGGAAGGAGAGGCUAAGCUCGUGCCAGCAGCCGCGGUAAGACGAGCUCUCCAAACGUUAUUCGGUAUCACUGGGCUUAAAGAGUUCGUAGGCGGCUUUACAGGUGGGGUGUGAAAGCCCUCGGCUCAACCGAGGAAUUGCGCCCCAAACCGUAAGGCUUGAGGGAUAUAGGGGUAAGCGGAACAGAUGGUGGAGCGGUGAAAUGCAUUGAUAUCAUCUGGAACACCGGUGGCGAAGGCGGCUUACUGGAUAUUUUCUGACGCUGAGGAACGAAAGCUAGGGUAGCGAACGGGAUUAGAUACCCCGGUAGUCCUAGCCGUAAACGAUGAGCGCUAGUUUGAAGGACUUUCGCCCUCUUCCGUCGGUAGCGAAGCGGUUAACUCUUCCCCCUGGGGAGAAUGGUCCCAAGGCGAAAAUUCAAAGAAAUUGCCGG